GGGACUUGGUAUACCUGUCUCCUGAGGCCCUGACAGGGACCACACCCUCUGUGGAGGCAGACAUGUACAGCUUUGGUGUGCUGCUGUGGGAGACUUUGAACAGAAGACAACCAUGUGGAGAUUUGCUCCAGCUGCUUUCAGGUGAGGAUGGGGUUGAUUCAGGCUUGGAGGAUGAGCG